AUUUACUUAACGUUUCAUCGAUAUCUUCAGGACUAAAGGUGGAGACAUUGGCGGAAAACUUAAAAAGAUUCUGCACCAGAUUGAAAAUGAUAAAUCCAACAUCAACGCGAGACGAACCGCUGUUCUUCAUGGACUACCAUUCCUUCUCGGGGAGGACCCCACAGAUUUUUACAAGACCUGUUUUGAUUGUGACGACAAUGAAGACCUGUCCGACAUUACAAUUGGAAUUCUGACGGUGAUUCCCGAGCACUCUGCAACCGCAACACUACCCUACUCUCUGCAUCUUGAUGCCAUAACAACAGCUAUCAUUUUGGAAGGUACCAUGGUUGUGGAUAACGUGGAAAAUCUUCCACAAGCAAUGUGUCUGCUCUUUGGACUGAUUUAUGCUCUAAACUUAGAGUAUCCUGCAGCUCUGAAGAGCACAUUUGAUUUCAUUCAGAGAGUGAUUUUGUCUCUUGGCCAUAAGUCACUCAAACCUAAAAUCCAAUCACUAAAAAAUCACUUGAUGCAGUAAUAGGUCAUUGCCAUGAUGUAAAAAAUUUUUCUAUGGUUAAUUACGGGUUCAUUACUAAGAGUUUGAGUGAAUAAAAUUGUCUUUAAGAGAACUCUAAAGAAAAUUGUUCAAUACUACACUGAUAGUUUUCCAGUUGUUGAAAAGGAAAAAUAUCCUAUUUAAAAGG